AUUGAACGCUGGCGGCAGGCCUAACACAUGCAAGUCGGACGAGUGGCGUACGGGUGAGUAACGCAUCGGAACGUACCGAGUAAUGGGGGAUAACUGUCCGAAAGGACAGCUAAUACCGCAUAUUAUUCGAGCGGCCGAUGUCUGAUUAGCUGGUUGGCGGGGUAAAGGCCCACCAAGGCGACGAUAAGUAGCGGGUCUGAGAGGAGGAUCCGCCACACUGGGACUGAGACACGGCCCAGACUCCUACGGAGGGCAGCAGUGGGGAAUUUUGGACGAUGGGCGCAAGCCUGAUCCAGCCAUGCCGCGUGUCUGAAGAAAGCCUUCGGGUUGUAAAGAACUUUUGUCAGGGAAGCGAUACCUGAAGAAUAAGCACCGGCUAACUACGUGCCAGCAGCCGCGGUAAUUC
rnacentral:rRNA from 1 species